rnacentral:rRNA from 1 species
CACGUAGGGUGCAAGCGUUGUCCGGAAUUAUUGGGCGUAAAGGGCUCGUAGGCGGUCCGUCACGUCGGGAGUGAAAACUCGGGGCUCAACCCCGAGCCUGCUUUCGAUACGGGCGGACUAGAGGUAGGUAGGGGAGAACGGAAUUCCUGGUGUAGCGGUGGAAUGCGCAGAUAUCAGGAGGAACACCGGUGGCGAAGGCGGGACUCUGGGCCGAUACUGACGCUGAGGAGCGAAAGCGUGGGGAGCAAACAGG